ensembl:lncRNA
CUACUUUUCUUUUGGAAACACUUUCACUGUAGAGUAUCAAAGUCUCUGUCUUAUUACUUAUAUGAAGAAUAAGAGCAAAGUGAAUUUUGGAAUGAAACUAAAUUUCAUACCAUGUGAACUCAUGCUGGAAUAAGAGCUCACAUAAUCAUUCCCUUUUCCAAGAGUUCUGUUGGUUCUGCUCUGUCAUUUUUCAGAAGGGAGAAACAACAAUAAAUGGUGCCUACUUCUACAUGCAGACCGCAUUUUACAACAACAGCUCCUGUGGGCUAAUUGCAUUGGAGGGUCUGAAGUAAUUCAAGUAUUACUGGGAGCACGGUGGGUGAAGAGCGUCGUAUUUCACAGCUGAGAAGGAAUAAAUUGACUCUAGGCUUGAGCCUUGAGGGUGGAAAACCAGGAGAAGCACACAGCAGCCAUUCCACUACAAACACCCUGGUAUUUCUGUGCGGUGAUAGAUGUUACAGCUCUUACGCAUAGAAACGGAAAAUGUCUUUCCUUGUGUUCAUAAGAGAGUACUUGUUCUCUAAUUCGAAUGAACUAAAACAAACAUAAAAUAAGUUUCAAUGAAGAGCUAAGUCAGCAAUGCUAUUAGACUUUUUGGAUUUGCACCUAGUACAAGGUUGGGAUUUUGUUGAAUAACGCGGUCCAAAGGAGUUGUUAAUCUGAAGUAAAAGUGUGUGAAAAUGAAAGAUUGCUUUAUUUUUUGUGGAGAAGGUUCUAUAUUAUAAAAGAUCUGUUGACACUCAUUUGAAUACCUUUCUAAAGGCAUACUGAUUGAGAGCAGCUGUCCAAGGAGAACCUGCAGUGUCCUGGUAUUGGGUGGUGCUAGAUUUAUAAUAAAACUAAGGUAUAAUAAUGCAAGAAAAAUACCAGUUUUUAAAGCAUAGUACCUGUUUUUAAAAUACUGUUACUUGCUUUUUGUUCCACAUGGAGCAGCAAAGCCACAUUUAACAUGCCUACUACUUUGAAGCCAUUAUCUCUGACUGUCCUAAAAAGUGAUUAUAUGUGAUUAGAAAUUCCGUGCUUUGUUUCUACACCAAAAUCUGAUCUGAAACUAUACUUAGUCAAGAUUUCUAACAUCUCAACUUGUAAAAACUGUCUAAUCAGAAACACUUCAGAAAAUGUUUUCAUUGUGUAGUUUGGAUCAUCUCUGAGAUCUUCCAUGGAAUAAAUACGGACACUUCAGGUGAAGUUAAAUAUCAUAGAAUCACAAUAUCGUUUGAGUUGGAAGGGGCUCUUAAAGGCCAUCUAGUCCAACUUCCCUGCAAUGAGCAGGGACACCUACAGCUAGAGCAGGUUGCUCAGAGCCCUGUCCAGCCUGACCUUGAAUGUCUCCAAGGAUGGGCAUCUCUGGACAACCUGUUCCAGUGCCUCAUCACCCUUAUUGUAAAAAUCUUUGUACUGAUAUCUAAUCUAUACAUACAUCAUCGCAAUUGGGUUUACUGGGAAGGUAGUGAAAGUAUUUGAGAACAAGUGUCUGUACUGAAUACAAUUUAUCUCACCUCUUAUAGAAUGAAGUGUGUCCUGACUCCAAAUGUCAUCUAAGCACAUCUAGCAUAUUUACCUGCAGGCUUAAUCUUCCUGUAUAACUCCCUCAUGGUUCUUGCCAGGAUAGCUAACUUGUAUCUGUAUUAGUUCUAUAUAUCUUCUGUAGACUGAAAUGCUGUCAAGUGAGAAAAAUACCUGUGUUUUAUCAUCCACACUUCUCUUCACUAUGAGGCCCUUGAGUGAUGCUUGGCUUUUGGUUAUAGUUGAGAAGAUGGGAACUCAACAUACAUUUAUGAAGCAUAUGAAGGAAUAUGCUUGUCUUCUCAGUCUGCCAACGUUAGUGUUGGACAGUUUGCUGAACAGGUAUCUUGAUGGGUAGGCAUUAAACCAGGAAAUUUUAGAUCUGGUGUUGGUUUCAAAAUUCAAACUGGUGCUUAUAGCAAAAGGAUUUUUGGGAUGAGUAGGGUGAUGACUAUAAAUAGUUAGUCUUGUGGUAUCUGGCUGAUGAAUUACCUAGCACACUCUGGUCUCUGUAUUUGCAAGAAGAAUUCUGCUUGCAUUUUGAUUCUGUGAUUCUAUGAUUAUAUUCUGAUUGCAUAAACAGCAGCCCUAUCCCUCGGUGUCACAUCAUCUGAUCACGCGUAGUCUGAAGAAAAGAGCUCAUAGUGGUUCCCAUCUCGCAGCGAUCCAACUGUCCUAAUUCUGAAGUGUUCCAAAUACCUUCCUCCCUCUGAGGCUUCAGCAGUAUUGAGAUUUAUGUGCAAACAGAAUCCUAGUAAUAAGCCUCACCACCAAAUGUGAUUUGCAGUAAAGGAAAUAUCUGUAAUAAAAUGAAGAGGACUAAACAAAUUGUAAAAGGGAAUAAAACUUCUUUCAGAAGUCAAAAACAGCUACUUUACAGAGUUCAGACUUAUCCAGUAAUGGAAAUCAAUUUAAAUUAUUAAGAUUAUGGCAGAAAUAUAGCCUAAUACGCUACAGUGAUAAUGAUAACCAAAUCACUGAUCUUUUAAUAUUCCUGAUUUGUAUUUAUACAUUUUAUAUUUUUGUUAGCUACUUCUGGUGUACUCUCCAUGUAGUAUAUUGUAUAACUAAAACUUCAGCCUUUCUGUUGAGUUAGCUACUUACCUAUUUCUGCUGAACACAGCAGCAAUAAAGAUAUACGGUGAAAUGUUUGUUUGAAUCUUGAAAAUGUGUCAUUCACAGCAAAGAAAAGCAUUUGUUUUGGCCUUUCCUUAUU